rnacentral:rRNA from 1 species
UACGUAGGGGGCAAGCGUUAUCCGGAUUUACUGGGUGUAAAGGGAGCGUAGACGGCAGAGCAAGUCUGAAGUGAAAGCCUGCGGCCCAACUGCGGGACUGCUUUGGAAACUGCCCGACUAGAGUGCUGGAGAGGUAAGCGGAAUUCCUAGUGUAGCGGUGAAAUGCGUAGAUAUUAGGAGGAACACCAGUGGCGAAGGCGGCUUACUGGACAGUAACUGACGUUGGGGCUCGAAAGCGUGGGGAGCAAACAGG